rnacentral:rRNA from 1 species
GGAGUCUGGAAUUCGCUCUAUACCCUUUGUGACAUACCUAUAACUGUUGCUUCGGCGGGUAGGG